UUCAGGUGCCUGGGAGCUGGACCUACCAGGAUUGAAAAUUCCUACCGGGUCUGGCACAUUAGAGUCAGGAACUCUGCCAGUUUCCAUCACAGAAACCCCUUGCAUUCGACUGUUAAAUCAUCAUAGAAGAAUGUCUAAGAUGCCUUUAGCUUUUUGCGGUUGGCACGUUGUACAUGUCUCAAUGGCUCUAUCUGCUGUCAGAAAGAGGAACAUGACUUCAUCCUUCACAUUUUAGACUUGGUGACAGCGCGAAGUCAGAGGCGAUUGGGGGGGUGCCUUCUUCUGCUACUGUUUUAUCGGAAUCCUCCUGGACUGAGGACUGAGGUGAUUUCCUGCCACUGGCCUCAAGAUCAUCGAGCCAUCGCCUGUGGAACUACUCUAUUUUGAAUCUUGCUGCCUGAAGUCUGGUUGCUACCACUGAUUGGUCCACACUGUAAAGUUACAUUGCGUUCAGCCUACGGAAUGGGCAGUUUUUACAUUCGUAUUUGACAACUCCAUCUGUUGUCCCACUCUGAAAAAUAGAAAUUAAAAACAGAAAUGAGUGUUUGGACCUGAAA